rnacentral:rRNA from 1 species
UUCCGGUUGAUCCUGCCGGAGGCGACCGCUUUGGGAGUUCGAUUAAGCCAUGCGAGUCGUGAGUCUUAGGGACUCGGCAUACUGCUCAGUAACACGUGGAUAACCUGCCCUAUCGUCUGGAAUAACCUCGGGAAACUGAGAAUAAGGCCAAAUAGUUCACAAUGCCUGGAACGGUUUGUGGAUGAAGGUAGGAUGGGUCUGCGGCGUAUCAGGUUGUAGGGGGCGUAAAGGACCCCCUAGCCUUCGACGCGUACGGGUGUUGGGAGACAUAGCCCGGAGAUGGAUUCUGAGACACGAAUCCAGACCCUACGGGGUGCAGCAGGCGCGAAAACUUCACACUGCAGGAAACUGUGAUGAGGGAACUCCUAGUGCAUGCACUAUGUGUAUGUAGAUCCUACUCUUAACAAGUAGAGGGAAAGGGCUGGGAAAGACCGGUGCCAGCCGCCGCGGUAAUACCGGCAGCUCAAGUGGUCGUCGCUUUUAUUGGGCCUAAGACGUCCGUAGCCUGUUUGGUAAAUCUGUGGGUAAAUCAACCUGCUUAACGGGUUGAAUUCUGCAGAGACUGCCAGACUAGGGACCGGGAGAGGUGUGGGGUACUCGAGGGGUAGGGGUAAAAUCCUGUCAUCCUUUGAGGACCACCAGUUGCGAAGGCGCCACACUAGAACGGAUCCGACGGUCAGGGACGAAGCCUAGGGGCACGAACCGGAUUAGAUACCCGGGUAGUCCUAGGUGUAAACGCUGUGGACUUGGUGUUGGGAACUCCCAGAGGGCUCUCAGUGCCGUAGCGAAGGUGAUAAGUCCACUGCCUGGGGAGUACGGUCGCAAGGCUGAACUUAAAGGAAUUGGCGGGGGAACACCGCAACCUGAGGAUUGUGCGGUUUAAUUGGAUUCAACGCCGGA